rnacentral:rRNA from 1 species
GAUGAACGCUGGCGGCGUGCCUAACACAUGCAAGUCGAGCGAAGCGCUUAAGUCAGAAUCUUCGGAGGAAGACUUUUGUGACUGAGCGGCGGACGGGUGAGUAACGCGUGGGUAACCUGCCUUACACAGGGGGAUAACAGUUAGAAAUGACUGCUAAUACCGCAUAAGAUCACAGUACUGCAUGGUACAGUGGUAAAAACUGAGGUGGUGUAAGAUGGACCCGCGUCUGAGUAGGUAGUUGGUGGGGUAACGGCCCACCAAGCCGACGAUCAGUAGCCGGCCUGAGAGGGUGGACGGCCACAUUGGGACUGAGACACGGCCCAG